AUUGAACGCUGGCGGCAUGCCUUACACAUGCAAGUCGAACGGCAGCGGACCUUCGGGUGCCGGCGAGUGGCGAACGGGUGAGUAAAGUAUCGGAACGUACCUUUCAGUGGGGGAUAACGUAGCGAAAGUUACGCUAAUACCGCAUAUUCUGUGAGCAGGAAAGCAGGGGAUCGCAAGACCUUGUGCUGAUUGAGCGGCCGAUAUCAGAUUAGCUAGUUGGUGAGGUAAAGGCUCACCAAGGCGACGAUCUGUAGCGGGUCUGAGAGGAUGAUCCGCCACACUGGAACUGAGACACGGUCCAGACUCCUACGGGAGGCAGCAGUGGGGAAUUUGGACAAUGGGGGCAACCCUGAUCCAGCCAUGCCGCGUGAGUGAAGAAGGCCCUCGGGUUGUAAAGCUCUUUCGGCCGGGAAGAAAUCGCGCCAGUUAAUACCUGGUGUGGAUGACGGUACCGGAAUAAGAAGCACCGGCUAACUACGUGCCAGCCGCCGCGGUAACAC
rnacentral:rRNA from 1 species